rnacentral:pre_miRNA from 1 species
GAAGGCACCUUGGACGAGCGGCGUUUGGUCGGACUACACCGUGAGGGUGCUCCUGGAGUCGAGGUGUAGUCUGGCAGAAACGUCGGUUGUCUGGGGAGGCGCAUUCGGCG